AAUAACAAAAUUUGAUACUUGGGCUAAGGGUCAAGUUGGUAAUUUUUCUUACAUCUCCUCCCACCCUCGGAGCCCAGGUAUCAUAUAUGCCCUAAAAUAAAGAGCCUUGAAUACUAGAAGAAAAAUACCUAGACCUAACAAGAUUAAGUGAAUACCUUAAAUUGUGGUCAUUUUAUUUUGAUCUUUCCA
rnacentral:antisense_RNA from 1 species